UAAUGACUCGAUAGUGUGAUGAUAUCUCCGGCUCUUCCAACUCGAACUAAAGGAUAAACCUAUAAGGAAUGGAAAAGAGAACACAGAGUAAGCUUCAAUGCUUAGUAAGUUUUAAGCAAUGCAAACAAUUAAUUUACUUAUAGAUCGAUUAUUUCAAAUUUUCAAGAAAUCAUUCCUAGGUAAUUGCCAUUUCGGCCAAGUAUCCAUGAACAUAAUGCAUAUUUAGCAAAUUCACCUCACUUGAAUCUGAACUCAAUUAAAACCAAAUAUUGAAAUCACAAAUAAGAUCAUAAGAACUCGAAAAGUAUCUCAUUAACUAGUUUUAACCAUGUUUGCAACAAAAUCACAAAUUCACUACAAGCUGUUUUCCUGAGCAACAGUCACUAAAUUAUUUAUAACUGGAGAUAAGAAACUCCAAAUAAAGUGCCGUUAAUUUUUCCUGAAAAUAGACUUAUAUAUCUUCCAUCCAUAAAAUUUUCAGAAUUUUUGGUUUGACCAAUCAAUACCAGAUUUUUAUUGAAG
rnacentral:lncRNA from 1 species